AUUCAUUCAAGAACGGGGGUUUGAUCCCUCGUUAAUCGAGUGCGACACAAUUUGAGAUUUGUUGGAUUUCCACUAUUGGUGUACUUUUUGCUUAACCCCAAACGAACCAUCGGUCAACGCAAUUCUCUACGAAUUCUAUGCUUCCCUAAAGGAUAGGGAAACCCACAAACUCCCGGAUGACAUACAUAUGCAUGUAACAUUUCAGGGAAAAUAGGUAUUGUUCAUACCCCGAAAUUUGUUUGUAUUAUGAUGCUAUGUAUUAUGCCUCAAAUUUCUUUGAUUCUGUUGAUUUAAACAUGUAUCGAGGCUUAAAUAUGCUAUUCUACAAUACGUAACACAGGGGCGUGGCAAAUGGACUCGCUAAGUCGGUACCAAUAUACCCUUAAAGUUUAGUUAGACUAUAAUAUUUCCAAUGGCCAAGAUGUGGAUGCAAUUUAUUUUCACCUGCAUCUCUCUAACGCAGAAUGUCUCUCACAUCACCGCCUUUAAAGCAAUUUUUCUUUACUCAAUUUUACAGAAAAAACAGGUCUGUGUGGGCCAGUGGAGUUAUCAAGUGAUGCUGCAAUAUAGUAGUGGCCAAAAAUGGGGAAUGUACAUCUUCCAUCUCGUGACAACCUUAUGCAAAAGGGCGAGGGUUCCUAUGUCACCGACCGAGACAUUUGUAAUGCCAACGAGAAGUGUGCUUGGAAAUAACAUGUACAGUCAAUUCAUUGACCUUCACCAAAAACAAGUGAUGGAGUGGAACCAACGUUGAAAGAAGAAGAUGGACAUCCCCCCACCGUCCAAGAGGAAGACCAAAAUCAAGCCCUAGUUGAUUGGCUUGACUGACAUGUCGGAUAUCGAAUGGGUCAUACGAUGGAUGUAAGAUAUAUCCUUGGUGGGAAUCGUUUACAAACAGAGGCAUGGUAGUUGUGUGCCUAACCCUCCACCGAAUAAGUGCGCGCCCGUUCAAUAUUCUGAUACAUUGAGGGGGAGACAGAGAAGAAGAAGAUGAAGACGACGACGACGACAUUGAAGGAGAUGAUGAGGAGGAGGAGGAGCCUUUCUGAGUCUCCAAUUAGGAGGCGACGUUUAAGCCAUAAUGCCCCUCAAUGAUUGGAAUCGCAUUCCACAACUCGGUCCAACAAAGGCCUAUCCAAUCUUCUGGAAUGAGGGUUACCAGGACAACUGCGGGACGGGGUAAUGGAAGGUCAAUGAUGGAUGCGGAGUCGAUGCAUGACUUAUAUGAAAUUUGAACAAUUUUUUAAUUUUUAUUUUUAUUUUGGGACUUGGAAUUUUUAUUUUGGAUGGUUUUUAUUUUUUUCUGCCUGGUAGUUAGAUUUUUAUUACUCUAUUUUUUUUUCUGUUAGUUAAUUUCUAUGUAGGAACCCUAUAUUUUAGACAACACAAAAUUUUUGGAGUUAACUGGGACAAACGAG
rnacentral:lncRNA from 1 species